GAUGAGCAUGCGUCCCAUUAGCUAGUUGGUAAGGUAACGGCUUACCAAGGCAACGAUGGGUAGGGGUCCUGAGAGGGAGAUCCCCCACACUGGUACUGAGACACGGACCAGACUCCUACGGGAGGCAGCAGUGAGGAAUAUUGGUCAAUGGGCGCGAGCCUGAACCAGCCAUGCCGCGUGCAGGAUGACGGUCCUAUGGAUUGUAAACUGCUUUUGUACAGGAAGAAACAGUUCUACGUGUAGAACCUUGACGGUACUGUAAGAAUAAGGAUCGGCUAACUCCGUGCCAGCAGCCGCGGUAAUACGGAGGAUCCAAGCGUUAUCCGGAAUCAUUGGGUUUAAAGGGUCCGUAGGCGGUUUUGUAAGUCAGUGGUGAAAGCCCAUCGCUCAACGGUGGAACGGCCAUUGAUACUGCAAGACUUGAAUUAUUGGGAAGUAACUAGAAUAUGUAGUGUAGCGGUGAAAUGCUUAGAGAUUACAUGGAAUACCAAUUGCGAAGGCAGGUUACUACCAAUAUAUUGACG
rnacentral:rRNA from 1 species